rnacentral:misc_RNA from 1 species
AACAUGUUGGCCCCCAUGCAGACGUUGUACCACCAGCACGAGAUCUUGAUCAACAUGGCACCAGCCCUGGAAUACCUCCACCACGAGUGCAAAUGGUGUGUGUGUGGAUAAAAAUGCACGCGCCAGGGAGAAACCUCGCGCGAGGAAUGUACGCAAGCAUGGCACUCCACACAUUUUUUUCAUACAGAGGUUGUAUUUUUCCAUGUGCUAAAAGAUUGAAAGAGGUUGAUGGUCAAGUGUUUUAUCCUACCAAAACCUUGAUCGAGUUUGUUCCAAGAAUUCUUGGAGAUGCUCUUAGGACCAUUUU